rnacentral:lncRNA from 1 species
UCAUUUGCCUUCCAACUCGGCCAUACUGACAUUAUGCUCUUUAAUGAUGAGCUUGUCUGCAUUUUGGUUAUUUGAUUCUAUCUGAAGCCUCAUGAUGACUUCUUCAAAACUCAUUGGCUUUUUCUUGUGUUUCAGGUAGUUCUUGAAAGUCAGCCAUGUUAGAGAGAGCUUCUCGAUGAAGCAAAGAGUCAUGAAUAUCUCGCAGAUGGAUGUUCUUUCAACAAAAAUUUCAUGGCACAAAAGUUCCAAAGCUUCAACUUGAUCCAUGAUAGGUUUUGAACCCACCAUUUUAAAGUCAAGAAACUUCACAACUGGAAACUUUUGGCAUCCUUCAUCCUCACCUCUAUACUUCUUGUCCAAGGAUCGCCAUAGAUCUUUU